UAGACAGACACAUCUUCAGGCAGAGAUCACGGGCAUAGCCCGUGAUCUCUGCCUGAAGAUGUGUCUGUCUA
rnacentral:pre_miRNA from 1 species